rnacentral:rRNA from 1 species
GAUGAACGCUGACAGAAUGCUUAACACAUGCAAGUCAACUUGAACUUCGGUUUGGGUGGCGGACGGGUGAGUAACGCGUAAAGAACUUGCCUCACAGUUAGGGACAACAUUUGGAAACGAAUGCUAAUACCUGAUAUUAUGAUUUUAGGGCAUCCUAGAAUUAUGAAAGCUGUAUGCGCUGUGAGAGAGCUUUGCGUCCCAUUAGCUAGUUGGAGAGGUAACGGCUCACCAAGGCGAUGAUGGGUAGCCGGCCUGAGAGGGUGAUCGGCCACAAGGGGACUGAGACACGGCCCUUACUCCUACGGGAGGCAGCAGUGGGGAAUAUUGGACAAUGGACCAAGAGUCUGAUCCAGCAAUUCUGUGUGCACGAUGAAGUUUUUCGGAAUGUAAAGUGCUUUCAGUUGGGAAGAAAAAAAUGACGGUACCAACAGAAGAAGUGACGGCUAAAUACGUGCCAGCAGCCGCGGUAAUACGUAUGUCACAAGCGUUAUCCGGAUUUAUUGGGCGUAAAGCGCGUCUAGGUGGUUAUGUAAGUCUGAUGUGAAAAUGCAGGGCUCAACUCUGUAUUGCGUUGGAAACUGUGUAACUAGAGUACUGGAGAGGUAAGCGGAACUACAAGUGUAGAGGUGAAAUUCGUAGAUAUUUGUAGGAAUGCCGAUGGGGAAGCCAGCUUACUGGACAGAUACUGACGCUGAAGCGCGAAAGCGUGGGUAGCAAACAGG